rnacentral:pre_miRNA from 1 species
CAUAGGAUUACUGGGUCAUAUGGUAGUUUUAUGUUUAAAUUUGUAAGAAAUUACAAAACUUUUUUCCAAAGUAGCUGUGCCAAUUUGCAUUCCUACCAGCAAG